UAAAGCUCCUCUGAUUAACAGUUUAGGUGCAGAACCCUAUUUAUAGGGUACGCAUUCUCCUGUGCCGCCUCGAUCCUCCAGCCCGGAGUGGAGCAUUAUUGAUGCAGCUGCAAGUGCUCAAAGCUUAAACAAUAUUUUUUCCGAAAGCCCCAGCAGCCCGCCCGGGAGGAAGGUGGGGACGGGCUGGCGAUGGAGUCCUGAAUGUUACUCCUCCAGUUUCAAGGACAUCUUGCUGAUGAGGAUUUGGUUAAUGGAGGAGAACUUAUGUCCUAGCGGUGACGUCAUUGGGUCCCAAUGUAAUCCUCUUGUGCUGAACCCAAUCAGCAGAUGUGCUGAGAGCCGGGAUGCGGAGAAGAAGCUCUAAUCCCUUAGACUGGAUGAGAUCAGCUGAAACAGCCAGGACUAGACCCCAAACCCCUCUGCUAGGAAGAUCAAGAGAAAAGGGAUAAAUUGAGAGAGACGCCUCAUAACCCCUUUAAAGAGCUUCGGAGAAGAGAAGAGAAAGAUGGGUGGUGCACCAAGUUCAUCUUGCUUUUAAAGCCUAGCGGGAGCCUGGUUUUCACUCUGAUGAGGUCCUUCUGCAUUGUUCCAGGGCAGGAGGAGAAAAGAGAAAAAAAAAAAAAAAAAAAAAAAAAAAGAGAGAGAGAGAAAAGGGGGGAAAAAAAGAGAGAGAGAAAAGAAAAGUCUGAAAUUCAAAGAUAAUGAGAGACUAGGCGCCUUUCUUAUUCAUCUCCAGCUUGCCUACACAAAAACAAGCGUCCUGAGCCACGGGAGGGCGUUUGCACUGGAUCUGAGCGAGGAGCGGAGUUUGUGCCGCCGGAGCCGCCGGGCGCUGCGUCCACGAUGGCCCCGCUCGCCGCCUGCCCUGCUCCGAGCGGGGACAGCCCGAGCCCCUCUCUGCGUGUUCACAGCGGACCUUGAUUUAAUGUCCAUACAAUUAAGGCACGCGGUGAAUGCCAAGAGAGGAGCCUCACAGCUUCAUUUUCAUGGAAAUUGGGGACAUAAACCCUCUAAUUACACUUAACAACAGCCACGGAGCGAUCUAUGGAGCAUCCUCGGCCUUUUGACAAAUAGGAGUAACAAUGCGCCAGCGCCCGGCGGGGCAGCUGUCUCCUCGCAUUAACGGGGGCACGGGGGGAGGCGGGGGGAGGCCCCGCUCCGGCCCCGCCGGGGCUUGCGGGGGCUCCCGGCGUACAAAGGGCAGGAGGAGCGGCAGGACAAUGCGGGCAGAGCUGGGGGGGCCGCGGGCAGGGAGCGCUCCGAGGAGCGGGGCGUGGGCGGGGGGUGACGAGCGGCCCCUCGUUGCAGAGCGAGGGACCCCCCCUCCCCUGCAAAGAGACACCCCCCUCUUCUCAGCCUCCACAAUGCCGUUCAGAAGGUCCCUGAAAAAAACACCCUUCUGGGGGAUUUUAGGAAGUGGGGCGCUUUUUGCUUCGUUUUUUUCAGUAGCUCUAUUUUUGGUUUUAUUUUUGCCGUUGCCCCUGCAAUGCUCCUCGGUCGCAUGCUCGGCCAUGUGGCUCCUGCUGCUCUGCGGUGCCACAAGACAGGUCCAGGGUCCUGUCCUGCCCCUCUGAGCCCCUCUGCAACUCAACUAUUCACAGAACUAAAUGAUGAGCCUGCUUUUUUUCCAAAAGCAGGGCUGGCAAGGUGAGGGGCUGCAGCACUGCAGCCUCCCCAGUGCCACCUCUGGCCCUGUCACCGCAGCCUGCAAGGUGGCACACGUCCCCUUUCGCAGUCUCCAGCGAGACUGCAGCAGCCCACACCAGUUCUCAGGUUAGGCUUUAGACCUCAAUAAAUCUCUGUUGUAAGAC